AAGAGUAUAGUUUAAUUGGUAAAACUUCUGAUUCCAAAUUAGACAUUGUUCGUUCAAGUCGGACUGCUCUUG
rnacentral:tRNA from 2 species